ensembl:misc_RNA 7SK 7SK RNA
GGGCCAUCUGGCUGGGACACCUGUCACCUUACUGAGCUCCAGAUUUGAUGGGCUGAUCUCUGGCUGGCGAGGCCACUGUCCUUUUCCCCCUUCACUGCUCCACGUGUGUCCCUGCCAAAGCUUCAUACUCUGAGGAAGAGAUGACCUUUCCCCUAUAGAGGAAGAUGGUCAAGGGCAGCGGAGAAAAGGCUCAUGGGAAAACUGUUUUUACAUCUUCCUAGAUCUAAAAGUAUCUUCCUUCUUUCAUAUUUGAAAAAGAAAUGGGCUAUGCAGAAAAUCCUAGUUU